rnacentral:rRNA from 1 species
CCCGCUGAACUUAAGCAUAUCAAUAAGCGGAGGAAAAGAAACUAACAAGGAUUCCCCUAGUAACUGCGAGUGAAGCGGGAAAAGCUCAAAUUUAAAAUCUGGCGGUCUUUCGGCCGUCCGAGUUGUAAUCUGGAGAAGUGCUAUCCGCGCUGGACCGUGUACAAGUCUCCUGGAACGGAGCGUCACAGAGGGUGAGAAUCCCGUCUUUGACACGGACUACCAGGGCUUAUGUGAUGUGCUCUCAAAGAGUCGAGUUGUUUGGGAAUGCAGCUCUAAAUGGGUGGUAAAUUCCAUCUAAAGCUAAAUAUUGGCGAGAGACCGAUAGCGAACAAGUACCGUGAGGGAAAGAUGAAAAGAACUUUGGAAAGAGAGUUAAACAGUACGUGAAAUUGUUGAAAGGGAAACGCUUGAAGUCAGUCGCGUUGUCCAGAAAUCAACCUUGCUUCUGCUUGGUGUACUUUCUGGUUAAUGGGUCAGCAUCAAUUUUGACCGGUGGAUAAAGGUCAGGGGAAUGUGGCAUCUUCGGAUGUGUUAUAGCCCUUGGUUGCAUACAUCGAUUGGGAUUGAGGAACUCAGCAUGCCGCAAGGCCGGGUUUUUAACCACGUACAUGCUUAGGAUGCUGGCAUAAUGGCUUUAAUCGACCCGUCUUGAAACACGG